rnacentral:rRNA from 1 species
UACGUAGGGGGCUAGCGUUGUCCGGAAUCAUUGGGCGUAAAGCGCGUGUAGGCGGCCCGGUAAGUCCGCUGUGAAAGUCGGGGGCUCAACCCUCGAAAGCCGGUGGAUACUGUCGGGCUCGAGUACGGAAGAGGCGAGUGGAAUUCCUGGUGGUAGCGGUGAAAUGCGCAGAUAUCAGGAGGAACACCGAUUGCGAAAGGCAGCUCGCUGGGACGUUACUGACGCUGAGACGCGAAAGCGUGGGGAGCAAACAGGAUUGAG